GCACACCAGGCUCAGCUCUGAACAGGCUAUCAGCUGUGAAGGCCUGGUGGAGGAAUGUGUGAAAAUCGCAGGAGGCUAAGGCAGUGUGUGGUCACCACCAACCUCAGGAGCCA
rnacentral:lncRNA from 1 species